ensembl:lncRNA
UCAAGUUAAAACAUUUUUAUUUCAACAGAGCAUGAAUUAAUAGGAACCUGGAAUAUAUUCCAGAGAAGUCCCAGGAGCAAGAGUCAUUCCACACCUGCAAUAAAACACAAGAUCAUCGUUAAGAAAGUGGAACUUCACAAACACAGGUCGCUACAGUCAACUUAACACUGGUACUAGUCAGGAUGUUUCAGGGCUUAGUCAGGUCAUGGUAGAUGGGUGCUACUGAAUCUGUGCCAAAGCCCCGAGCUUUCUCUCCCAAUGUUUGGAUUCCACAGCCGAGCGAAUACUCAGGCCAUGGCAGUAUACAAAUUGGGUUUUCAAGGAGCAAGAGCUAACUACUGAAACAAUUGGUGCUCAUUUCCCACAUGUACCUGCUUUGGUUGACGUCUUUGGGCCGUUGAUUGGCAUCUUAGCAGAGCAGAUUGGCAGCCUGUUGGAGAUAGAGUGGUGUUAGAGCGGUUGUUUCAGCGCUUAGUCAGGUCCUGGUAGAUGAGUACUACUAAAGCCCUGAGGUUAUUCUCCCAAGCUUGGAUUCCACAGCCAAGCAAAUACUCAAGCCAUGAGAGUACUCACUGGGUUUUAAAUGUAUAGCAUUAUAUAAUAAUAAUACAUUGAAUUUAUUUAGCGCUUUUAUCUAGACUGUAGUCCUCUUUACCUGCACAAAUUAGUCUCAUCAAGACCCCACAGGCAACCCUCAGCCAACCAUCAGGUCCUGAAGCAACACCAGUAUCGGGAUAACCUGAUAAGAAAGAAAGAUUUGAGUUAUAAAUGAAUUAAGUAAUAUCCCAUGCAGACAUUCAUCAAUAUGCUCAGGGAAAAUAGUCACCACAGUAUUAGUCAGCAUGAUGUGUUUUUUUGCAAUCAUCACAGCAUAUCAAUUCUGCUUAAAUUGAAGUAUUAAUGUACUGGGACGGACAUGUCGAAUUACCAUUGGAAAAGCAAACUUCGACAUCAUGCCUGCAUUGAGGGGAAAACAGGAGUUAGCGAGGCACAUUCAUAUGAAUGGUUCGGCUCGAAACGUUACAAUGACUAGAUGGAAUUCAAAAACAAUCGUAUAGUUUAAACAACUGACCGAAUAUUAGUGACUUUCUUUUCAUGCGCACAUGCUCAAGGGUUAGGGAUGUGUGACCCGACACUAGGCCUGACCAGCGGGGUAUCGGAUCAGGCCACUCUCGUUGGGUCGAACCUUGCAACAUUUCGGCAGAGCCAGCUCUAAAACAGAGGCGGCAGAACCGUCGCGGUUACAGGGCUUCCUCUUCCAGCACUGUAACACUGAGCCGAGCACUAUGACCCGGGCAGCUGACUUGAGUGUUGGUCGGUGGGGGCCCGCAUGGUGAGGCCUGUACCGGACUAACCCUUAGUGGGCUAGCCUCGGCAGAUUCAUGCCAUUUUAUUUAAAGCCAACAGAAUAAACUUCUCAAGCUCUCCCUUUAUUAUGAAUAAAGUCCUCAAGAUCAGAAAUUAAAUUACUCGAUUCUCUGACAUUUGUACAAUACUUCCCGCACGUGGCCUACUUUAUAUAUAUACACAUUGCACAUAUAGCAAAAGUAAGAGCAGAACCAAGUUAUAAUCAAAUAGUCUUAUUCUAACACAACAGAACCAACACCACCAAUUCAUUUAAAUAUAACACAAUAGGAAUCUUACCAAGAGCAUGAAGUCACUCCACCACAUUGAGAAGGAAUGGAAGGAUCCGACGGAAGUCUGAAGCUUUAAUAGAAGCGGUAUGCGGCUCGCUUUGCAUUCUGGGAAUACGCUGUAAGGAGGGCGCCCCCUGGUGGGGGGAGGCGGGACACCAGGGGGGCUAUUCCCCGUACAAUAGUCAUAUACCUCGAGGAGUUUAUGCAUCUAAUGCCUGCUUUAUGUACUGUCUCUGGGUUGCUCUUGGCCUUCAAGAGAAAAUGAAAAUGAGCAUUGAUCCUACUAGAACAUGCAGACCCGCUCUUCAAUGUCCUAACAUUGAUCAACUGUCUCCAUUGUCCAACAACAGCUAAAUUCAUAAUUUAUAGAAGGUGGUCUGUUACGCCCUCUACACCCCACUGGCCUUGCAGUGGCAGUGCAUUGGUCUUUGGGUGGUGCAGGGGCACAAUCAAGUUAAACGUGCACAGUUCAUCCUCAAAAGGGGGCUUGCUUUGUUUGUCCCUGUUCUGUUGACAUGUCUCAGCCCAUGCUCAGGUGUGCUGCAUCAGUGCAGCUGAUUAGGAGCACCUGGACCGCUCGUCAGGACCGGAGUUAAAGGCGACAGAUUCCCCUUCCCAUGGGGAUGCUUUUGGUCAUGGGACUGCUGGCUGGUCGGGCCACCUCUUUUGUAUUGUCUUUAUGUUUUGGACUUUGUUGUAUAUCUUAAUGUUGUGUCCUUUUCAUGUUUAUGUAAAUAAAUCCCACUGGUUGGGUUUUUGUAAAAGGUGUCCUUUGACAUUUGGGGUCAAGGGUGGUUUGUUGUUAGCCCUUUUACGGCCAACUAGAAGUGGGGCGUAACAAAUUGGGGGCUCGUCCGGGAUAGAAUAUCCAUGAAGUGAGUGCAUGUGUGUAAGAUUGUUAACUGAGGAAGACUUUUGUGUGCAGUAACUGGUAGUGGACUCUUUUGUGGUGCUUGCACUCCACAUUGUUGGGUCACGUUUGGUUUCAACUUUAGAGUAAGUUGGCAACAUUUGUUUGUAGUGGUAACUACAUUGUGUCCCUUUGUGUCGUGGUAGUUGCAGUCCAUUUUUGUUGAGCCACUUGUGUAUUACUGUUUGUUUUGACAGUAAAUUGUCUUGUGACCCUUGUAUGUGGGAUGUAGUCACUCCAUAGAUCAGAUGAUAUUUGUAAGUGGUGG